rnacentral:misc_RNA from 1 species
CACUAGUAUAUCACGCCUGAUAAUGUUUUAAAAAUAUAGGUUAGUUGUAGCCGUUGUAGGUGAGUUGUAUUUAUUUUGAAGAUUUUGACGCCAAAUCUGUAUAGAAAACCGUUCAACGUAAAUGGCAAGAACUGUGGAGAAGGAAAUGAACCUUUCGGAUUUACCAGUCGAACCUAUAGAAGAAAAGUAUAAUAGAUAUUUUAGAGACACAGAAGUUGAAACCAAAAGGCUUAUUCAUAACUAUCUUAAUAUGUUAACAGCCGUAGACAAUAAGGCUCAAGAAAACAAAAAGCAAGAGGGUGAACAUGUAGAAGUGGUUAAUCAAAAUAAAGAAAAUGAGACAAACAACAAGGAUGGAGACAAUUUUAAGAUGAUUGCAAAAAAGAAAAAGAAAAUUAUUGAGAAAUUAAAAUAUUUGGUUAACAAACUAAAAACGACACAUUAUUCGGAAACAAUUAAAAAUACCUUAAAGCAGUAUGUGUUAGCAGAACCUCAAGCAAGGCGUGUACUUGUGGAUAUAAUUAUGGCCACUAAUGAUAAGUAUUUUAAAAUUAGGCUAAGAGCUUUUAUUCAGGAAAUGAAUGAAGAAGCAUUAGAUCCAGGAGAUAAAUCCACUCCGAUAAAAUCAGCUGAAAAUAAUAAUCAACCAAAAACUCCCGAAACGGGAACAUCAUCUUCUGAAAAUUAUAAUAAUGGUAGAAGAAGAUCAUUAAGAUUGUCCAAACAUCCCCCAGGAUCCUUGCAUUCAGAAGAUAAACCUGCUAUGACAACAACAUCUGGAAAUAAUAACCAGCCAAAAACUUCCAAAACGCCAACAUCACUUUAUGAAAAUGAUAAUAAGGGUAGAAGAAGAUCAUUGAGAUUGUCCACGCAUCCCCCAGGAUAUUUUCAAACUAAACCAGCUAUGGUUUUUUAUAUCCUACCCGAUGAUACUGUCCGUGAACGAGAAAAUACUUCAAGGAUUAAGAAGUUAACACAUACCGUUCCAAAAAUUAAACGAAGGAAAUUGUAUAAUCCCAAUUCGAUUUAGUUCAAGAUAUUUUUCGUUCUCGUUUAUUUUAGUUUUUAUUAAUAUUUUAUCGAAAAAAUACUACAAAAAUUAAAAGUGACGACUGUGAUAACACCGAAAGAUCGCCGCUUCAACAUACCCUUCUAUAAGUUAAAUGGUACAAUCAGU